rnacentral:lncRNA from 1 species
CGGGACUGCAGGUCUAUCCGCUAAGCGCGCGUGACCAAAAACGGCUCUCAGCGGGUCCCAGCUGACGGAAGCUGACAAGUUUAUUUAAUCCCUGAACCUGGAUCCAAGGCAUCUCCCUGUAGAAAACAUCAGACCGGGGCAGAGAUUGACAAAGCAACCCAAAGCAGCAGCUGCCAACGGCCGCUGUGCCCACCUCAUCAGCAGCUAAAGAGUAUAAUUUUAAAAAAAGUCACAGAAGAAUGUGGAGACACUUAGCAAAACGGACUCUCAUAAGGAACUUCCAUUUUCUCAACAACUGCUCUUCCAAGAUGCUGCCUCAUUUCAGAGCCAUGUUUUACUCAUGAGCUGGUCCUGUCCAGAAAACAGCCAAUGCUCAUUCCCGACACUUUCUUGUCACUGCUCUUUUCUGUUCCCUAUUUUGUCAGUAAGGAAGUAAACAACCGCUAAAACAACCCUCUAACAACAGAAGACCCUCAUGAGAACACCAGGCAGCAGAAGCUUCUUUAGCAGUAAAAGAUAUCUGGAUAUUCAUAUUUUGUUCCAUGAUCUUCAACAUUAAAUAAAUAAACUUAAUAUUCAAGUCUCCUUCUG